UACGAAGGGGGCUAGCGUUGCUCGGAAUCACUGGGCGUAAAGCGCACGUAGGCGGCUUUCUAAGUCAGGGGUGAAAUCCUGGAGCUCAACUCCAGAACUGCCUUUGAUACUGGAGAGCUUGAGUCCGGGAGAGGUGAGUGGAACUCCGAGUGUAGAGGUGAAAUUCGUAGAUAUUCGGAAGAACACCAGUGGCGAAGGCGGCUCACUGGCCCGGUACUGACGCUGAGGAGCGAAAGCGUGGGGAGCGAACAGG
rnacentral:rRNA from 1 species